CGAAGACCGGAGCCGCGAGCGCCACCAGGGCAGCAGCCGCCGCAGCCGCCGCCGCUGGGCUGAGGAGCCGGAGACGCGGGCGGACGAGGUGGCGGCGGCGGCGGAGAGGGAGCGGGGACCGGGCGCGGGCAGAGCGCGGCGGCGCGGGUGUAUUCCAGAGAACAGGUCUUUAAAACAUCUUUUUGCCAUAUUUGAUGCUGAGCUGUCAGAGGACUCAGGCUUAUGAGGAGGUACUGUCACACAAAACAGUGUCUAGUAAAGACGACAAGAAAGAGAGGAAAGGAUCGAAAAAAGAAGCUAAAAUAUUAUAGAAAACCAUGAGAUCUAUUCGAUCUUUUGCCAAUGAUGAUCGCCAUGUUAUGGUGAAACAUUCAACAAUCUAUCCAUCUCCAGAGGAACUAGAAGCUGUUCAAAAUAUGGUGUCUACUGUUGAAUGUGCUCUUAAACAUGUCUCAGAUUGGCUGGAUGAAACAAAUAAAGGCACAAAAUCAGAGAGCGAGACAGAAGUGAAGAAAGAUGAGACUGUAGAGAAUUAUUCCAAGGAUCAAGGUGGUCGGACAUUGUGUGGUGUAAUGAGGAUUGGUCUGGUUGCAAAAGGCUUGCUGAUUAAAGAUGAUAUGGAUUUGGAACUGGUUUUAAUGUGCAAAGACAAACCCACAGAGACCCUGUUAAGUACAGUCAAAGAUAAUCUUCCAAUUCAGAUUCAGAAACUUACAGAAGAGAAAUAUCAAGUGGAACAAUGUGUAAAUGAGGCAUCUAUUAUAAUUCGGAACACUAAAGAGCCCACGCUGACUUUGAAGGUGAUACUUACUUCCCCUCUAAUUCGGGAUGAACUGGAGAAGAAAGAUGGAGAAAAUGUUGCGAUGAAAGAUCCUCCGGACUUAUUGGACAGGCAGAAAUGCCUGAACGCCUUGGCGUCUCUUCGACAUGCCAAAUGGUUUCAGGCAAGGGCAAAUGGAUUAAAAUCAUGUGUAAUUGUCCUCCGCAUUCUGCGUGAUUUGUGCAACAGAGUCCCCACAUGGGCACCAUUAAAAGGAUGGCCACUAGAGCUUAUAUGUGAAAAGUCUAUAGGUACUUGUAAUAGACCUUUGGGCGCUGGGGAGGCCUUGAGACGAGUAAUGGAGUGUUUGGCAUCUGGAAUACUACUUCCUGGGGGCCCUGGUCUUCAUGAUCCUUGUGAGCGAGACCCAACAGAUGCUCUGAGCUAUAUGACCAUCCAGCAAAAAGAAGAUAUUACCCACAGUGCUCAGCAUGCGCUUAGACUAUCAGCCUUUGGCCAGAUUUAUAAAGUGCUGGAGAUGGAUCCCCUUCCUUCUAGUAAGCCUUUUCAGAAGUAUUCCUGGUCAGUUACUGAUAAAGAAGGUGCUGGGUCUUCAGCUCUGAAGAGGCCAUUUGAAGAUGGAGUAGGGGAUGAUAAAGAUCCUAAUAAAAAGAUGAAACGAAACCUAAGGAAAAUCCUGGAUAGUAAAGCAAUAGACCUUAUGAAUGCACUAAUGAGGCUAAAUCAGAUCAGGCCUGGGCUUCAGUAUAAGCUCUUGUCUCAGUCUGGUCCUGUCCAUGCCCCAGUCUUCACAAUGUCUGUAGAUGUGGAUGGCACAACAUACGAAGCCUCAGGACCAUCCAAGAAAACAGCAAAACUUCACGUAGCAGUGAAGGUAUUACAGGCAAUGGGAUAUCCAACAGGUUUUGAUGCAGAUAUUGAAUGUAUGAGUUCCGAUGAAAAAUCAGACAAUGAAAGCAAAAAUGAAACAGUGUCUUCAAACUCAAGCAAUAAUACUGGAAAUUCUACAACUGAAACCUCCAGUACCUUAGAGGUAAGAACUCAGGGCCCUAUCCUCACAGCAAGUGGCAAAAAUCCUGUAAUGGAGCUCAAUGAAAAAAGAAGAGGUCUCAAGUAUGAACUCAUCUCAGAGACUGGUGGAAGCCAUGACAAGCGCUUUGUAAUGGAGGUAGAAGUAGAUGGACAGAAAUUCAGAGGCGCAGGUCCAAAUAAGAAAGUGGCCAAGGCAAGUGCAGCCCUAGCUGCCCUGGAGAAGCUGUUUUCUGGACCCAAUGCGGCAAAUAAUAAGAAAAAGAAGAUUAUUCCUCAGGCAAAGGGUGUCGUGAAUACAGCUGUGUCUGCAGCAGUCCAGGCGGUUCGGGGCAGAGGAAGAGGAACUCUGACAAGGGGAGCUUUUGUUGGGGCUACAGCUGCUCCUGGCUACAUAGCUCCAGGCUAUGGAACACCAUAUGGUUACAGCACAGCUGCCCCUGCCUAUGGUUAAUACUUUUAAGCAGUUUUCAGCACGUUUAUCUCACUUUAUUCUCGUUCUCCUCGGACCUUCGUAGCCAUAUCACUUGUAUAAAAUAGGCUGAGAUAUAGUGACUGUAAGCUGUGAUCUCAGUAUACAAAGGACUGAACUUGACACCGUCAGCGUGGUUGAAGCAGCAGCCUGCAUGUGUGGACUCACCAGUGCCUCGCCCAGAGAUGCCUGGCCUUCACCCAAAGGGACCCUGCUGCCCCGACUCCCACAGGCAGCACCCACACUGUGGCUACUUUGCGCUGAGUAUGUUGGACUCUGCUGUAGACUGAUACUCUUGUCUGGCUGCUGCAGUUUGUCUGUAAUGCCCUGACAUGUUGCAUUUUCCCAAUUUGGAUGAAUAAAAAUAAAUGCUUCUGUGUUAAUGGCAGCGGGCUGAACUGUUCUGUGCAGGACCCGCCCUGGUGGAACAGAGACGAGACUCUGGCUUGAAAGGUUCAAGUGCUGGCCCCUCUCGCCUGGCCUGCAGGACUAGCUCAGUACGUCUCACACACAGGAUAAGGAGCUUUCUGACAGCCAGUGGGACCAGGGCCUAUUUCAUGUUCUUGCCUGUGAUCCUUAAAAUUCUGCUUCUCUGAGUGUGUGAAAAAGUUUACUCCCCUGAAACGUCAAGCUGGCAGUCUGGCUCAUGAGUGCGAGUCAGAGUUCGCCCGGAACUUUUCACACCCCUCACAUCAUGUCCUCAGGACCAUCCCAGGGGUUGGAAGACUCAGACAAGAUCAGGAACCCAAGGCUCAGAGAUAAAGGGACUUGCCCAAGGGCAUGGAGUUUCUAAAAUGCAGCAGCAAUGGGACUCCAAACCUGGAGCUCUCGCUAUUGCUCCUGCCAGUGCCCCUGCCAGUGCCCGCUGUGAGGUUCCUGCAAAUGAGCGGCCCUAGGAAGCAGAGCCCAAGACCAGGGUGAAGCUCCUGCGACUGCCUGCAGAGGGUGUUGACGAUUGCAGGAAAGGAGUGCGUGAUGAGUCAAGAGCGGAGCGCCAUAGCAGCUCAGCAACCCGAGAUGGGCGGAGCCUGCUGCAUAGAAGGGAAAAGAACUCAGAAAGGCUGAGCAAGAUGCAUCCAAGGUCAUGAAUGUGUUUGGGGUGCAGAGCUAUGUCCAUGUGGUCAUCUUAAACCGGAGUCCUGCUGGAGUUAGAAGUACAGGCUAACACUCCAGCCUGUGUGCUUGGCUAGGGCCCUGUGAGCCCCAGUUUCUUCACCUUUAAAAUGGGAGAAAGGGUGAGGAGCUUAGCGUUCAGGCCUGUUGUUCUUGGAGCAAGCACCUUAGUCAUUACUGUGUUAUGGUUCCCAGCCUCCUCUCCUACCACCCGGCCCUUACCCCAUGAAUCCAAGAGUGGGAUUUAAAUCCCAACCUCAGUUUCACACACAAAUCUCUAAGCAAUGAAAUGACUCUCCCAAGCCACUAGGGCCCACAUCACCUACCACACCCGCCUUGCACAGGCUCUUGCUUUCACAAUUGUUGGGUCAGUUCAGUACUGGGAAUGCUGUAGGCCUAUCUUCAGCCCUUAUGGAUUCCCCUUUCCUUCUCUCACUGCUCACCACCGGCCACUAGGGUUUGAAAGUAGAACAGAUGUGGAGACCUGGGGGCUGACACUUCUUGCUUUUUAAAAAAAUAUGGAAUGCUUUGCAAAUUUACAUCAUUCUUGUGCAGGGGUCAUGCUAAUAUUCUCUGUAUCGUUGCAACUUCGGUCUACGUGCUGCCGAGGGGAGCAUUUGCCUUCCUUUGGAGCUGCCUCCUUUCCCCAGAGUUACGGCAGUGCCCUGGAUCUGCUUGGCCUCAUUCUCACCACCUCUUGGAGCAGUCUGAACUGUGCCCAGUGGCAAGAUCAGAGCAGGAGUUCCCAGAACUGCCCUCCCUCCUGCCACAGUUAGUUCUCUUUGGCCCCUUGCUGCCCUUGCCCAGUUCCCUUUACAGCCAGGCUUCAUAACAUCCAUGUCUACCUGACUGCCUCCUCCCUCCACUGCACCAGCCACUCGCUGGCAGCCUCCCAGUUGCCAGAUCUAAUGACCCUAUAAUGAGCUGCCCUCACCCAAGAAGGUGCCCACGCCUUUCCUUCCUUCCCUUGAAUUUCCAUUCCCAGGCCCGUCUAGCCCGUGCUUGACCUGUGCACUGUCUGGAGUCUCUUCUGUUCUCCUGCCUAUAGGUUACAAGUUACAUUAAUGAUUCAGUACAGAGCAACUGCCUCCCCAACAUCUGGCAACACCUGGGGAUGUUUCUGGGCAUCAGGUGGGGUGUGUGCUGUCAGUGGGCAGAGGCCUGUGAUGCUGAUCAGCACUGUCACACAAGCUAGCCCUCAUCACCAUCAGCCAGAGACUUCUGGGUGACAGAUUCCAGACAUCUCCAACCAAGCAAUCUCAAAAAUCUAUAUACACUUAAAGCUAAAUCUAUCUUCCUGGUGUGCACUGUCCUCUCACCAAGUGUCCCUGACUCCAUUCUCACUCUGUUCCCUAUUCUGUCACCCCUGCUCAAACUAACUUCUCUUCCAAAUUUUCUUCCUAAAGCAUUGACAAGGAACUUCCCUGUGAAAGUUGGCUUAAAACUCUCCAGGGUUCCCCAUUACCUUUCAACUUCCCGAUGUGGUCCCAAAUUACCCAGUUCCCUCGCUGUUCCUCCCCCCCACAAGUCAUCCUCUUGCCUCUUUAUCUAGCAAAUCACUUAGUCACAAGUGCAAAAAGCUGUGUUACUAUCAUCUUGUCUGUCCUGCAAAUACCCCUUCAGUGGUCUCAUAGGGUUCUGUACCUCUGGAAGGUACUUACCAUUUGGCAUUGCAAUUACUAACCUCUCUCCAAUCUCAACCAGGAGCCCACCCUGAAAGGAGGACCCUCAUCUGAGUUAUGGAAUCCUUUCUCUGGGCCAGGGGCAGAGCUGCAGGGACCAGUAUUUCUACUGAGCCCCUACACUCCUGAACAUGGGGCAUUUGGGACUAGAAAACCAUGGAGCGAGCAGGCUGGCCAGCAAUAUGGAACCCAGAAAUAUGCCCUCCGGCCCAUGAGUGUUGCAAGGAUCCCAGCUGGCCUCUGCAAGGACACCUGCAUGGGCUGGGGCUCCCUUACCAUGUCCCUUUCUUCCUGCAGGCAUGAAGCCAUGGUCUCUGCAUUUUGGCCUGUUUCCAUGCAAAGGCUGUGUGUAGGGGGAUAUAUAUUGGAGAGUAGGUCAAACGGGGAGGGAAGCACCUUCAUCCUGUUGCAGAGGAGGAGAAUGAAGGGCAAAGAGGGAUAGCAGAAGGCCUGGGGGGCCUAUGGGGCAGGUAUGUGGAAGGACCAUCGUAAAGAGAAAGUCCUGCCACCACUUUCUCCGAGACCUGCAGAGCACACGUGGGCCCUGGGUACCUUUCUGCUCCUUGGCUGUUGCCCUACACACCUGCACCUUGGCCCCGGCAUUCCAUCUCCCCUCACUGCACGGUGAGAGAUGCGUUUAUCGUCUUUCCACACCUAACUCUACCCUUCCUUCCCUCUCCUGUAACACCCUCCCUGACCUCAAGGACACUCAGGUUUCUAUCCCUGUCACCAAAGCGCUGCACUCUUCAGGGAGGUCACACCCGCAACGACUGUAGGGGGGCUUCCUCUCUG